rnacentral:rRNA from 1 species
GACGAACGCUGGCGGCGUGCCUAAUACAUGCAAGUCGAACGCAGUGGGGACGGGUGAGUAACACGUUGGUAACCUCCAAUCAGAGGGGAUAAAACUUGGAAACAGGAGCUAUACCGAUACUGAUGGAUGGACCCGCGGUGCAUUAGCUAGGUGGUGAGGUAACGACUUACAAAGGCGACGAUGCGUAGCCGACCUGAGAGGUUGAUCGGCCACACUGGGACUGAGACACGGCCCAGACUCCUACGGGAGGCAGCAGUAGGGAAUCUUGGGCAAUGGACGAAAGCCUGACCGAGCCACGCCGCGUGAGUGAAGAAGGUUUUCGGAUCGUAAAGCUCUGUUGGUAGAGAAGCGGUAUCUAAAGAGAAAGCCACGGCUAACUACGUGCCAGCAGCCGCGGUAAUAC